CAUCGUGCGCGCCUGGUCGCGUCAGGUCAGUGACAGUGCCGUGCGCCCCCCAUCGCCCCAUCACGCUCACGCCACAGCGCAAGCUAGGGCUGCUCUGCUCCCCCGUGCCCGGUCCGCGUCGCUUGCUUCCGGCCCCCGUCUCUCCUUCGAAACAGGCCAUCGCCGUCGCCGUCGCCGGAAUUCAACUCGGAACAGCCUUCCCCCCCGGCCCCACCCGGCGGCCGGAAUUCAACCCCGAACAGCCGUCCUGCUGCCGCCCGCAGCGGUAGCUAUAAGCUGGAUGGUUCUUUCUUUCUUUCUUUCUUUUUCUUGCAGCGGAUCGCGCGGCAAGAUUGCGGGUCGUCGUCGGGCGCGGGCCGGACGACGACGCCUGUGCUGGGAAAGUGUGGCGCAGCUGGGUGCACGGGAGCAGCACGCCACGCCGUCUACGUGUAGACCGCGCGCGCAGCAGCUCGUUAAUUACGUGCGCGCGGCGCUAGCUAGCUGCCUAGCUCUCGUCGACCACGACCGCCACCGUGUCCGUGUCCGUGUGCGCCUGUCACCCCCCCUCUGUCACUCAGCGUGUACUAGUAUUCUGGGAGAAGUGUGUCUCACUUUGCACGAGUUCGGGGGAGCCCAGCCCAAGCAGGCGCCGCCGACGACCGCGGGGGCGGAAGACGAGUCCGCGUCCCGCGCGCUGUCGCGCUCGCAUGCGAGCUGACGACGGCCAGCCACAUCACGAGAGCGCGGUGGCGGACAAAGAUGCGGUUUUUUAAGAAUCCCGGAAACUAAUAAACUGACUGCGGCGGCCCGCAGUUCCGUGUAAAGCUUAAGAACAGACAGAGGUGGGCGGUGUUGUUGCUUCCGUCGUCGGUGUUGGUGUUGCUCGUGCCGCGCAUCGAGUCAAGGUGUGCCGUGGACGAGAGGAUGCCGGUCGCCGCGAAAAGGAUACUGCGGCUGAGGGCACAGCAGAGAGAAAGACUGCAAGACCGAUGCGAGAGAAGGUUUCAAAUUCUUCAUCGAAACCACCUGUCCAUAUGACUGGUAGUGGUAGGCCUAAUGCUCCUCCAUACCGUCUUCCAGUUCUUCCAAUGGACGAUGAUGAAAUCUCAUCCAAAGUUCUUCUAGCAGUUGAACUUUGCUAAUUGAAGCUGCAAAAGGAACUUCGAUAGAUCAGCAUUACGAGGCACAGCAGUGAAAGCCCCAUGUUUACCUUUUCCACGGUGAGUAUGUAGUGACUAUGUGAUCUCUCUUAUGCAUUUAUGCAUUUAAUUUGACUGAAUGCUUCUAUGAAAAGAACAUUUGGAUGGGCUAAAGCAUGCUGAAGUAGUUUGCAUGGUGUUUACAAUUACAUACUAGAUCAUUAGCCAUUACCAUGUGAUGCAUGCUAAAACUUUGAUGAUAAGUAGAUACCCCCACUAUGAUCUCAAACAUGUUCAGUUCAGCACGCCGGAACAGAAAGCACGCCACAGUGGUCCUUGUCAAAUUCGACGCCUUCUGCCAACAGAGUCAAACAAGACUGCAUGCUUACUCCUCUUGGCGAACCUCCUUCACCAAGAGCUGCACAUGUAGCAACUGCUGUUGAACCAUGGUGGUCAUUCAGGGUGGAAUUGGUCCAGCUGGCUUAUCCGCUGAGGACCUUCAUGUUCUUGAUCUUAAACAACAACGACCGCGAUGGCAUAGAGUGGUGGUUCAAGGUCCUGGUCCAUGGUAUGGAUAUGUGAUGGCCUUGGUUGGUCAACGAUUCUUAUUGACAAUUGGUGGCAAUGAUGGAAAACGACCCCCGGCAGAUGUAUGGGCCCUUGAUACUGCGGCCAAGCCAUAUGAAUGGAGAAAACUUGAACCGGAAGGUGAAGGGCCACCACCAUGCAUGUAAGUGCCCCAGUAAUACUGAGGAAACUUUACUCCUUUUAGAUUCUACUUAAAUCAUUGAGCUUAAGAGUAACUCCAAGAGUUUCUAUAUCCUUAUUGAUAGAAAUAGAGAUUUUGGUCCUCCAACAGCUUCUUUAACUAGAUGUCCAAAUAUUGCUAUCCUCUAUUUUAGAUUUCUGGCUAGGCAAAGAUGCAGAGCUAUAUUGACUCUAGAGUGUGCACAAGAUAUAGAAAAACUGUUGGAAGAUGAAAAUAUAUAGAGAGGGAUUUUUUCUCCAAAUGAUGAUUUAGAGAGUGAGUUUAAAGAAGACUCUUGGAGAUGCCUUCAGUUUCGUGGCUUGAUGAUGCUGCAUACAUUAAUGAGCUGCUUUUGAUUCACAUUAAAUUGCUUCAUAAUUUCUAAUAAAGCUCCCAGUGCUUCAUAAUUUGUAAUAAACCUCUGGGGAGAUGGAGACGGAGGUGAGUGCGGCGCGGGACGUUAUGGCCAUGAAGGAUCACAUAGAUCUCGAGGCCUCGCAGUCGCAGUAGCCCAGGAAGCUGCCGCCAAGGACCUCAAGGAGAUCGCCGGGAGCUUCUGGCUUGCCGCCUCAAUGUUCAGCAAGAAGUGGCAGAAGUGGAGGGGCAAGCAGAAGCUCAAGAAGCAGGAGGCCGUCUCAAUUUGAAGUCUACUAACAUAUCCUUGCACAUAGAAAUUGUAUGAUACACCUGGAGUCCACCUUCACCAUAGAACAUGUGUCUGAUUGAAUUCUACACCAGUUCUUGGAAGAGAAAGCCUCACCAAGUCAUCAUCUCCAGGAACGAUGUUAGUGAAAGUCAAUUUAAUCUGGUGCUGAACAUUGAGUUGCAACAAAUUAUCGAUGGAGACUGAGUCACCGCAGCUAGAAACCACUGUCUCAAGGUGAUGAACAUUGAGUUGCAACAAAUCAUCAAUGGAGACCAAGUCACUACAGUCAGAAACCACUGUCUCAAUUUUAGGAGAUUUUCCAUCUAUGUUUGUUAGAAGGUAUAAUGCCUAUUUAUCUCUUGUAUUCGAACAUUUGGCAAUUAAGAAAUAGAAGAUUACUUCCCCAAUAUCCUUUCUUCCUAAUAUCACCUUUUACGGCUUCUGGGGAACAAUCACUUGGUAUUACCGACUGACAUGUCCAUUCAUAUGUGAGAUAUUGGGUUGAUAUAUAUGUUGUUCAUUUCCAUGUAAUUGUUGUGCACUAAUAUUUAUCGAAUAAUUUAUACACCGUCGCAACGCACGG